rnacentral:rRNA from 1 species
GAUGAACGCUGGCGGCGUGCCUAAUACAUGCAAGUCGAGCGAACAGACGAGGAGCUUGCUCCUCUGACGUUAGCGGCGGACGGGUGAGUAACACGUGGAUAACCUACCUAUAAGACUGGGAUAACUUCGGGAAACCGGAGCUAAUACCGGAUAAUAUAUUGAACCGCAUGGUUCAAUAGUGAAAGACGGUUUUGCUGUCACUUAUAGAUGGAUCCGCGCCGCAUUAGCUAGUUGGUAAGGUAAAGGCUUACCAAGGCAACGAUGCGUAGCCGACCUGAGAGGGUGAUCGACCACACUGGAACUGAGACACGGUCCAGACUCCUGCGGUAGGCAGCAGUAGGGAAUCUUACGCAAUGGGCGAAAGCCUGACGGAGCGACGCCGCGUGAGGGAUGACGGUCUUCGGAGCGUAAAACUCUGUUAUUAGGGAAAAACAAAUGUGUAAGUAACUAUGCACGUAUUGACGGUACCUAGUCAAAAAGCCACGGCUAACUACGUG